AGAAUCAACGCUGGCGGCGUGCCUAACACAUGCAAGUCGAACGAGAAAGUGGAGCAAUCCAUGAGUAAAGUGGCGCACGGGUGAGUAACACGUGACUAACCUACCUUUUAGUGGGGGAUAACCUAGGGAAACCUGGGCUAAUACCGCAUAACACUUACGAGUCAAAGCAGCAAUGCGCUGAAAGAGGGGGUCGCGGUCGAUUAGUUAGUUGGCAGGGUAAUGGCCUACCAAGACUGUGAUCGAUAUCCGGCCUGAGAGGGCGCACGGACACACUGGAACUGAAACACGGUCCAGACUCCUACGGGAGGCAGCAGUGGGAAUUUGCGCAAUGGGGGAAACCCUGACGCAGCAACGCCGCGUGGAGGAUGAAGUCCCUUGGGACGUAAACUCCUUUCGAUCGGGACGAUAAUGACGGUACCGGAAGAAGAGCCCCGGCUAACUUCGUGCCAGCAGCCGC
rnacentral:rRNA from 1 species